rnacentral:lncRNA from 7 species
GCCGCCUGCUGCAAUUCAUCCACACAUCAGGCAUGCACCGAGCGAGCGAGCGAGCGAGAGAGCGGCCUGCCCUGCCCCGCGCCGCCCGCGCCUCCGCCACAAACUUUGUCUCCGCCGCUGCGGCGCGGCACGGCGGCCAACAAAAAGCGAUCAAUAAGAUGCAGAUGUAAACAUGUUGUUUGCAGUGCUUUAGGUGAAAUCCAGGCCUUCCCAAACCUGGUGGCAAUAUUCCUGCAGGUUGAAACAGGUAACAUUUCAGUCCUUAUAUCUGAAGAUCCCAGAUGGCUUUUGCAAAGCUGAGCAAGUGUUGUCUUCUCAGAAUCUGAAGUAAAUGAAGCAAUAAGGGAAGUCAUGUUAUACCUUACUGGGUAGAAGAAAGAUAAUUGUAUGGGAGAACAAAUACAAGACUUUUUCCAAUGGCUUUGUUCAGCUUAACAGAGCAGAUGUACUGACCUCAGGAACUGGGUUUGUGUCCCUGCCAGUGCUCCAUGCCACUGAUGGAAGAAAUGUGUGGUUUUACUGUGCCGAGGGGUUGGAAUCUGUCUCCUGCUGAAACCAGUGGGAUGCUCCUCAUGAAAUCCAUGAGCACAUGGACCACCUGUGAGCAUGUGUGUCUUCAUAUCUUCUGUUUCCCAGCUAUGCGGGAUUCACCUACAGAAAAAAAUGUAAUUGGAAGUGGCUUUGGAGUACUGUCCACAAAGUUAAAAAUGAGUUUCCUGAAAGGAAAGCCCACAAGACCAAGUCAAAGUCAGCUUUCCCCUUAUAUGUGUUAAACAGUAAAUCCCGAUCUGUAUCUUACAAAUAAAACUC